rnacentral:tRNA from 2 species
GCCCAGGUGGUGGAAUUGGUAGACACACUACUUUGAGGUGGUAGCGCUGCGAGGCGUGGGAGUUCGAGUCUCCCCCUGGGCACCA